ACAGAGGGUGCAAGCGUUAAUCGGAAUUACUGGGCGUAAAGCGCGCGUAGGUGGUUUGUUAAGUUGAAUGUGAAAUCCCCGGGCUCAACCUGGGAACUGCAUCCAAAACUGGCAAGCUAGAGUAGGGCAGAGGGUGGUGGAAUUUCCUGUGUAGCGGUGAAAUGCGUAGAUAUAGGAAGGAACACCAGUGGCGAAGGCGACCACCUGGGCUCAUACUGACACUGAGGUGCGAAAGCGUGGGGAGCAAACAGG
rnacentral:rRNA from 1 species